rnacentral:lncRNA from 1 species
CUGGUCUCUCAGAAGCAGGGAGAGAGCACCAUACAUCUUGCAGCAUGUCCUUACCAGCUCGGAAAGCUUUGCCCUUGCAUUACUGCCAGUAAACUGUUCCUAACAUUUGUUACGCUUUAUAUUAAUGGAUGCUACAUUUUCCCAUUUCAUACCCUACCAAACAGCAUGAUGGGAUGACAGCAUCAAACAGGUAGUAGGCAGAAGUGAUGCAUGAAAACUACCCUUAGCUGGAGAGCCAUACUGUUUUUUCCGCUUUCUUACAGUGGCUGUUGGUUGUUCUUAAUCACCUGCCUCACGCAGGCAGGCACUGGCUGGGGAGCUAAGGGAAGGGCUGAGUCCAAAACACAUGGUAACUAAGCAGCAGGACUUGAGACGCUGUCUGGAAAAACAACAGAGACUCACCUCCUACUAUUUUUCUUCCAGGGAAGCAGCUCCCAUUGCGCCAUUUUCCUGGCAGAAGAAGUUAUGAUCUUCAGGAAAAAGCUUCUUUCAGAGUGGGUUAUGUUUUAAUUUGUUGUUGUUGCUGUUGUUUUCAAGCUGUGUAUGUGUGAGGAAAUGGCAUGGAGUGGAGGGGGGAAGUUGUCUCUGACAUCUGCAGGUUCAUCUUGGAAAGAGUGGAAGGAGGGAGGACUGAAGUACAUGGCCUGCAUCUGUUCCAAGAGGAACCCGAACAGAAGGAGGUUGUACUUGUUUUUCUGUUUGUACUUCUGGAGAUGAUGCCAUUAAUUAUGUGUUUACAACACUUCAGCUCUUCUUCCUAGCUUAGGCUCAAAGCUCAUAGUCCUGACUCAGCUCCAAAAAUCCACUGAGAUGGCAGCAGAGGGACAGUCUGACACAAUGAAGUCUGACAUGGAAGUGCAUAUGAAGCAAAGGUGUGUAAUUGAAUUCCUUCAUGUGGAAAAAAUGGCACCCACUGACAUUCAUUGGCACUUGCUGGAGACUAAACCAUGGAUGUGAGCACAGUGAGGUGGUGGCUGGUACAUUUCAGCAGUGAUGACAGCAACAGUGAGUGACCUCAACUAGUGCAGAUUGUUACGAGCACAGCAUGCGGGCUUUUGUUCAUUUUGUUAAUUGUUUAUUUACAACUAAUGGUGGUGACUGCGUUGAAAAAGAGUGUUUUAUAGCUGAGAAUAUUCUCUGUUCAGUAGUGUUAUUGUGCUCUCUGUAUCUGAGGUAGUUUCCAUGGAAACAAUUAGGAGGCAUUACUUUCAGAGCAACCCUCAUAGAUGCAGCCCUACACAAUUCCUCUUCACUCAAUGCAGCCAGGCAAGCCAAAAGGUUGGACACCCAUUUCUUGGCACGAGCAGGAUAAAGGACAUCCUUUCUUCUGAAACUACUCCUUCUCUUAAAAGCUUGAUGAAAUAUUUCGUUCAAAUUUUAAGGUGACAAAAGCAGAUGAAUAAUUCUCAUUUAAUACUGUUUACUGUGGACUUCUUUUCACAUCCUAUGGUGAUUUCCCUUUUUUUUUUCCAUCAGUUUGAUUACAGCCAGUCAGCCAUAAUUCAAGCAUCCUGGCAUGCACCAGCUAGUGUCACAGCAGUGUCCUUGGGAGGCCAGGCUUUCAAAGGAUGCAGUGAGUGCUUCUGAAAAGAAGCAAAUUUAAUGUCUUAAAGCUACCUUGAGAAUCACAGAACAUUGUUUGUACACUCACACUGUGCCCUAGCAAAUGCUCUUCAUCUUGCAUGAAUGGAGAUAUGCUGUACCCAUAUAUGUAAGCCAGUUAAUUGCUUCUGGAGUUCGCUUUAAAAAAAUUACUUCUAAAUGACAGGAUUCACAUAAACAGAGCAAUCUGAUGCCUGAACCUGUGCUUCAAAAAGACACCUUAAAUUUCGGUGAUAAGGAGCUUGUAUGAAAGCUUGUAAUUGAAAGCUGGAGUGAAUUAGGCAUGUAUGCAGAUAUGUGUAUUAGAAUGUGCUACAGUGAGGGAUGCCCUGCCAACAGAUCCCUGUGCCUUUGUGCAGUUUUGGUAGAGAAUGAUGGAAAGUUGCACAGAAUCAGAGGUUGCCACAGCAGUAUCUUUGAAACCCUCUUUUAAUAUUCAUGAAAGAGUCAUAAAAAACUUUUUUGAAUGAUAGCAUAUUUAAUGACAGUCACUGAGUCAUAUGAAACCAAUCUUCUUUUUCAUAUAACAAACAAACUGAGACAUCUGUCCUAUAAAAUAACAGUAGGCUGUGUCUCAUGAAGACACUGUUUUGGAUUGAUAUGAAUCUAAAUGAACAAAAACUGAUACUCGGGUUUUCAGUUUUGUAAUUGAUUUCCUAUAGUUUAGUCCUCUGAUAUGUGAAUGCAUCCCUAUCUGUACAGUAGUGUUUCGUGUAAUAUUUGAAGCAGAUUUUCAAUACCUCACACAGAAAAUACCGACUCAGCUUCACUGUUAGUGUGAAAAGAACGAACAGUUUCUUUCUCACAGCCUGCUGACAUAACGGUCUUCCCUUGGAGUAUUUCAGUCCUUGCUCAUCUUGGGAUUAAUGGAACCAGUACUUACAGCUGCAGUGCCAGAGGCAGGACCCAUAUAUUUCUUUGACCAGGUGAUUUCUUCCAUUUCCAGGACGUUGUUCUACUUCCCUCUUCCCCUUCACACAUCCUCCAGUGUUAAAUUGGAAACAUUUAUUUUGUUGUAGAUGAAAGCUAGAAUGAAAGAGAGGGACAGGGAGAUAUCAGGAGAAGUGUCCUCGUAUUGCCACGCGCUCACUACAAAUCCUCAUCCCAUCAGCUGUACUCCCAGGUAAUGGUGUCAUGUCAGUAGUGGUGGGAGCAGGCAAGUUUCUGUAAACUAGUUUUUCAGGAAAGGCACAAAUGAGUCCUGAGGUAGAUGUGGUCAAGGCAGAAUGGGGCAGCUGGGGAGGUGAAUGACCAGAGGUGACACCCUGCCAUGCAGUGGGAGGAGAGGGAGACAAGUGGGAAGGUGGUAGUGUCCUGUACCGACUCCUCACUUCUUGAGGUGUGUUACCUAAUAUUCAUUUCUGCUGUCAACAUUUCAUGAGUUUAAUAUGUUUAAUGUACAAAUCUUGAACUAAGAGUCUUGAGCACUGCAUUUCAGCAGGAAUAGUUCAAAGUGUACACUGUCAGUGCAGAUGUUCCCUGGUUUGGCAAUGGCUGCACUAGAUUGUCUCCUGCUGCUCUGCACAAGUAUUUCAGAGCUUGAUCUAGGAGCGUCCUUGGAAGGAAAUGUGGUGCAGUCUCAACUGUGAAAGGGGCACUGCCAGCCUCUGCAUGUUGGUUUGAGGCAGCAAAACUGUUCUGUGUGUCCUUUAAUUGUUAUUGCUCUCACUGAACUAUCCAGCUGUUUUUACUCCUCAGCCUGACUGAAGGCAGGAAUCCCUUCUGCGCAGGGGAGUAUACAGAAAGACAUGAAGAUGGUUUCUUAAAUGUUGAUACAAAAAAAGAGAAAGAUCCAGUUUUGCAUCAAAUAUCUCAUCAUUCCCUGUAUAAAACCACUACAGAGGACUCAAACCCAAAGGUCUCCCAACGUGCUCUGAUCCCACAGGCAGACAAGGACUCACUCACCACUUAACAUGUUGAAUAAGUCUGCAUCUGCAACUUGGGGAGAAGUGGCAGCUCCUGGCUAGGUAUCAGACUGGUUUUCCACUGGAACUUGUAACUGUGCUUACCUGCAGCUGGAGGGAACUCACUGUGAGGGCUGAUUUCUGUAAACAGCAGCAGAAGUUGCUAUCAUACAGAAGCAUGAGAUCCAGGAGAAGCCAGGCCUCAGAGGAGGUUAAGAAUAGUACUCUGGCAUCCAAAUGUAAGGAGCAUGAAAUCACUGCCAUCAGAAAAGAACAACACAAGAAAGGCUUUAUUCUAUCAUCCUGCACUACAAAGGGAGAAAUAAAUCCUGAGACAGCAUCAAACGCACCUUCAGAAAGUGAAGGUAAUACAGUGCUGCACAAAUGUGCUGUGUUGUAACGUUUGGCCAAAAAAAAGGAAAAAAGUGCUUUCUGUUAAGAAUACACCAUUGGCUGGAUAGGCCAAUGUGCUCCAGCUUAUAACUGGAUAUACUGCAGUUCUUUGCAAAGCACUGGUUUAGGACAUGAUGAAAUAGCUUUGCAGCUGAAGCAAGAGGUACAAACACUUGAGAAGAACAAAGCCGGUGAAACUGGGCAAUGUUUCAAGUCAUUUAGCAAAGCAUUUUUAGUCUCCUCUUUCAAGGUGAGUGAUAGAGUCAUAACACAUUGCACCAGUAGAGAAGAUUUGCAUCUAAAGCAUUUCAUUCUGCGAGUAUCAGUGAUUGCAAGUGCUGAACCUAGUGUUGGGAAGAAGCCUGUUACAGUUCUCCAGUCACCCAUCACAGUCAGCUUCUCACUUUCAUCCAACAUUUGUGAGGAACAAGGUUUGAUUUUCCAGCUUUCUAACCCAAAGUCUGAAGACGUUCAUCAGAAUCUGCCUUAUGUGUGGACCCUGGUGAGACCUGAGCAAGUUCAAAAACAAAUGUAACAAACUGAGAUUUUUACCUCCAUAAACAAAGUUAGAGUAUAUGGCAAUGUUUUUAUGAAGUGGAACACUUAACCAACCCAACAGACUAUAUGGGGGAGUGUUACUGCUCUGAAAACUCCUAGAGUUCAGUUUAGCACUUCACUAUUAAUGAAAGGGAAACAUACUUUUAUUUCUGUUGGUGGUAAUGGAAGAAAAUAAUUAUCCCAACAGAAGCAUUUUCAGAGAUUAGUGGUGAGACAAUAAUUUUGAUUAAUCUGAAGAUAAACUUCCCAGUGGUUAUGAAAACCUGACUGUAUAUCUUUAGCAAUAGCAACCAUGGCGCAUUAAGGCUAUUUAGUAUUAUGAAAAUAUGCAGUGAUCUGUAGCCUGUUUACUUGUCAGGGCCUGAGUGAGGGCUGCCAUAAGAUAAUGUGGCCAGAAUCAGGCCAUGAGACUUCUUCAUGCUGUUUAUGCUUAAACCUUCUGUUUUUACAUAGCACGAGAUGGACUUACAACCCUGACGACUCAUCACAUAGAGUUAGCCACAUGUUAAAAAUGUAUGGUGGCCUCAAAGUUAGUCGGUCAUUCUUUAUACUGACUAUAUUGCUAAGAUAGUUUCAAAGGAAAGCAGGAGAUGUCUGAAAUAGCUAAGAUCUGCCCUGCCUGGAUAAAUUAGAAGAAGUGCUGGCUUUUUAUAAACGAGGCAAAGUUUAAGUGAAAAAAUAUUCUGAUAGCUAUAAGCAUUAAUUACCUACAGCAACAGUUACUAAAAGUUAACCUGUGUAAUUUAUCUACAGCACAGUAUCUGAAUUUCAGCUGUUAUAUGUAGUACUAUUUAAAUGAUAGUUCCUGUACACUGGCAAAAAAAAAAUUAAAAACAUAUUCAGAUUGAGUGAAAUCAGCACUGUGUUGCAGGUGAAAAUUGGUGAGAAUAGGUUUAGCAGCUAGUGGCUGUGUAAGAACUGGCACUUAUCAGUAAGAAUGUACAUGCUACCAUGUAUAUAGCACAUUGUAAAAUAUAGUUAUUUUAUUAUAAUAUGCAUAUUAUUCCCGGAAUGCGUCUUGGUCACUGCUUUAAUCCUUGGGGAACUGAGUACCCUAAAGUCCAGGAUAAUUGCUUUUGGAGCAAAAGUUGGAGUUGGCUUUGCUUCACCAACCUCUGUCUGCCUCCAAUAGCUGUAUAAUGUGAUUGCAAAACAAAGCAAAAGAAAAGCAAUGUGACAAUUAAGCUUAAAUAAAAUACUUAAUUAAAAUACUUGUGGCUUAUCCUGGAAACAGUCUAUGUUCUGAUCAUUAAAAUGAGCGUUGUUGUCUUCCCACCCACAAGACAUGCCAUGUCCUAUACAUACCUCUUUUAGAGAACACACUAAAAUGUAAGUAUCUGUUACUUACUCUUCCAAACUGUGGGCUUUGAUAUAGGCCAGCGUGUAAUUGUUAAGAACUGAUAGAGCUCAUGCAGGUGCUGAGAAUGCAUUUCCUUACCUCUGGCACAACUAUUCUGGAGUCCACCAUAUCGCUGUUCCCAAAAGCUCAGCAGUCUGUUGACUUAAUUAUCUAAUUGAAGGCAACAUUUAUGCCACAAAUAGUGGUAGGGUCUCCUAACAAGAAAAGUGUUCCUUCUCACAGUAUCUGAGCAUGUUUCCUUUCCAGCAUUUGCAGACCCUAUUGGCCCAUUAGGUUGGAAGUAAAACGAUGCCCCUCAUCUUGCAGUACUCCAGUGCUGUUGCCAGAUUUCUGUGUCAGUGCUGUGGAAGUUGGCUUUGUGUUCCUGAAUAACUGUGCUUAGCAUAGUCAGCAAAAACUUUAUACUGAGCAAUAUUUAAUGGCAAAAUUUAAACAGCAAGAAAUAUUGGAUCGAAGACAAAAAUGUUCCUUUGAUUUCUAUCAGCUAAUGUUUUACAUAAUUAGCUUUCCUCAAAAUUGACUGGCUUUUUUGCUCUUUCUUUUUUUUUCUUUAAUGGCUUUAUUUGUCUAGUGCUACUAGAUGAUCUGCAUGGUUUUUUGGUAACUGCUUAAAGAGCAAAAAAAGGCAUGCAUGGACUCAUAUACACAUGUAAAACAGUACAUAUAGAAAGUCUAAUUGAAAAGAACGUCAGCCAAAGGCUGUCAGGACUAACAAGCUGUCUGCUAGAUUUGGGGCCAUUCAGCCAGCCUCAAACUCUGCCUCUGUGCUUCUUUCUUAUGAUCAGGGACUGAAAUAGAUACGAAGAAAAUCUUAAAGGAAAUUUUAAACUGUUUUAAUAUUGUUGUUUCUCUGAAAGGUGAAAUGAAUAAUAGGAAAAAAAGAAUAACACAGUGAGUGCAUGUAAUCCAGGAUGGUGAAAGUGACCUACUGAUGGACAGAUCUGCAGCAGAGAUACUGGCCCUUGCUGUCAGUGGAUCUCUGCUAUGUGUGGGUGUGGAGGAUUGGUGCAGUCAGUUCUAUUGCCAGCUUAACCACAGGUGACCUGCGUGAUCUUGAGUAACUUAUUUGACUCCUUUGUAUAUGAGAGCAAUGUGUGAUAUUUUAUAGCUGAGAAACUACCGUAUGUUUUCUGCUUAGGUCAAACUUCAUUCUUAAUCAAGAGAAGCCUUGCCUGAGGAUUCCACUUAGCAAGAACUAAUCGAAGUUAUAUUUUUUUUCCUCCCUCAUGUAAACAGAAAAGAGCAAGCAUUUAACCUGAAAGAAGUUGGGUUUGACAAACCAAUUAUUCUACAGCAUUAUGGUGAUUACAGAGGAGAAACUUUCCCCAGGACAUGGAAGGUUCAGGCUGGCAGGACUGUCACAUCAAAGCUGCCAUAUGACAAACCUCAGAUUCCAGUGGUCAAGAGAGCAAACACAGCACAGAGAAAACUGCACUACAGACUGAAUGAUGGCUCAUCCUUCAUUUAAUAUCCUUUCUUAAGCUCACUUAAAUUCCUGUAAGUGUGUGAAAGGCAGGGGGAGGACUUCUACCGAAGGACAAUCACACAGCGUGUAGCUGAACCGCUUCCAAAAUCCAGCUACAUAUAAAAGAACAAGACUUUAUUCUUUGGGCUUCUUAUCAGACUCUAUUUAUAUGGUACCACAUCUAUAGUCGGUCUACAACAGCAAAGCCCAGUGUGCGUCAGGUGGGUUGAAAGGCAUAAAAAAAAAAAAAAAACCCAAAAAAAACUGCAGAAUGAACAAUGCAGUUUUAAAUUAACAGUAUCAGACUGCAAACUAUUUAAAGUAUGACCUUGUCGUGAACAAAGACCACUUUAUCAAUCACAAACAUAAUCACAAACAUCAAGAUGUAUUAGGAACUGUGCAAGUCUGCUCUGUUACAAGUCCACAGAAGACACCAUGCCUCAUAAACCUACUUCUGAGUCAUACAUUGCUCCUGCAAAGGACACUUUUGACCUGUACCAGCAUGAGUUUCCUGCUAUCUUUUAUUAGUUCAGUAACGUGAAUUUUGUGCUGAGAGCUUUGCCUGCUCAUCCUCUAUCACUCCCAAUCCACUUAUUCAAGGAAGAAGAUGACUGGGUUGGUAGCUUCGCUUUCUCUUAUGCACAUGGACUGAAUACCCUGUCUUAGAGCUGAUGAUGUUAGUCCCUGUGUUCUCUGCAUGGUUAAGUAACAGAAGCUACAGAGUUGGAGAGAGAAUGAUAACUUAACUCCUUGACUCUCAUUUUAGCUAUCCAUCUGAAUAUCUUGCGGUUUGCCAGAGCUGCUGCAAUCUCCCAUGUAGGGGGAUGUAUACCAACAUAUUUAGCCCUUCUCCAGAUCAUUCUAUAGGUGGAACUUUCACCUCUUUUGGACAUGGCAGCAUCUAUCUUCCUAACAGGUAGGCAGAUGCACUACAAGCUGUUGUUUGAUUCUGCGAAUUAGAGCCGAGAGCACAAAGCUAUACAAGGAUCUGAGCAACGUUCAAAACCAGAAUAGACAUGAGAAAAGUGGUAUGUUGUUUCUACAACAAAUACAAGUUUCUAUAACUCAGCUGGGUGUCUGACAGUGGGUUGGGUUUAUUUUGGUUGUUUUUCACCUACCCUUUUUCACUAAAAAAUGAAAGCUGAGCUUAGUUUUAGGUAACCAAACUCUUGCACAGACAGACUCGUAGUCCAUAGGGAGUCUGACAUUAGAGAAGAUCAGCAUCCAGAAGUGUGGAAAGAUAAAAGAAGACCCCUUCCGACUUGUUCAUGCCUCCUGGAGGUGAAGAAGAAACCUGUCCUCUCUGAUUCCCCUCUAAGAGUCAAAUGCCAUCAGGUGUUCAAGCAGCCCAAAAGCACUCUGUUAACUAAACUGCUGAGCUAGACAGAAGUCACUCGGAAAAGAGAAUUCCUAAUUUGUGACACCAGUGCUGUGAGGACAGGAUGCACUUUGGCUUACUGGAAAAUUCCCACAUACAGAGGAGACGGUGGGCAAAUGAGAGCCAGCCUUCUGGCUGCCUUGAACACAUAGCAUGAGGUGUGUGUGGAUGGCUGUUGCACACAGUCAGAAGUCAUCCUCUUCCUCCAUCACUUCAUCAGCAGUUCUCUUCUGGAUAUUGUUGCUAUCUGUUUAUAUCUCUCCAUGUAGUUCUCUGCACCUGUACAUGAUGUGGGCAAAGGUUAUCACUGAUUCUUAGUUACCUGAUCUUCGCCUAAUUCUCCUCUUCUUUGCUCCUUUAGUGACUUCAGAGUACUCAAGAAAUCUGGGAUCAAAAUUUAAUGCUCUGCAGAGAGGAAUAGUAGCUAAAAAUGAGGGACUUGCUGAUUUGCAGCUGCCUUCAUUUGUAAGGAAGUGAAGAUCAUUGGCUGAUGGCUGAACUUUUGGGAUAGGAGGAAUGUUUUACUGGAGCUGUGUGAGCAAGGAUUUUUCAGGUCUUGUAUAAAAGCACUGAAGAGAGUUCAGUGCCCUCACAGCUAGUGGAAGGAGGUGGCCCUUGUUGACAAAAAGUGUCCAGGUGUCCAAAAAUAUAUAUUUUAAACAGUUCUCAUUAAAGAAUUUAAAUAACACCUACCCAUUUUACCUAUACUAGCCAACUUUAUAUUACAGAAAAGCAAACAAAAAUAAUAGGGAAUAUAAAGUGCAAAGCUAAAAUCUCAGGAUUCCUCCUGAGACUUGUCAGCUGAAGCCUAAUGCAUUAAUGCCAUCCAUGUGCCAUUUUAGUUGAUUUGUUUCUUCCUUUAAAUUUACAGUCAAAUUUGAAAUGUUUUAGAACUUCCAGGACUGUAGCGGUAAGUGAAAAGGGCAGUGAAAUCACACUGUUUGACCCCAGCUUCUUUCUGCUUUGAAUUAUUAAUACAAGAAUUAAACCCCAACUUUUGUCUGUAGCAAAAGGACAGUGGUUUAUACCUUCCUUACAAGCCUGUAGCAUGAGAAAAGCUGGGUGAAGGAGUGGCUAUGUAAAGCGGCUUUUUAAUUAGAGACUCCUAGAUCAAAGCAAGAUUCUUGGAUUGUUUAAGGUUUUCCUGAGAUACACCAGGAAAAACAGGUUUCACAUUUCUGCCUAUUUACAGCAACACUGUAACCAUGAUGUUUAAUCAGGAAGGAGGUCUGGUGACUAAUGAAGAUGAAGAAAUGGUCAGAGAAUGGAAAUGGCCUCGGGAUGGCAAGCUGGCCCAGCCAGUUAUAGCACGGGUAAUAGUUAAAGCUUUACCUUUUUUUACUGUUCUUACCUCUUGCUUUCUCCCCCUCAUCCCUUAGUCUCUCUGAGGUGUGUGAAUCGUAAGGAACACAGAGCUUACAUUUCUUCUUCUCUAACAGGCUUUAAAAUGAAUAGUUUUCCAAACAACCUCUACGUGAAUUACCUCUUUUUUUAACUCCUGUUGCUCCUUCAGGCUAAGAAAGAAAAGCAGAUUGCCUACAACUGUUGUAACUCGGGAUUUCAACAAACAAGAAGCCUAUCCUCCCUGCUAGAUGCAUUUUGGAAGAGUCUUUUCUUUCUAGUCAAUAUGAACAAGCUAUUUCUCACAUUUCUCUUGGGCAUGUUCAGUAGCAGGCACUUAUUUGCCUGACUUCAGUCCUGAUCCAGCUCCCACUGAGGUGGGAGCCUCCCACUGCUUUGUAGUUACCAGAUCUCAGCUUAAAAUGCUGCAAAAUUACCAGAAAGGCAGGUAAAACAUUUGCAAUCCAAGUCAGUAAGCAUGCCUUCGGGCACAGAGUUGGUAAAGACACAUUAUUUGGGUCAAGUCGGGAGACUUUUUCUUCCUUUCUACUUAAUACAGGGCUACUGGUGGCAUCCUUGGUAUUUUGUACAAGGCACAUCUAAGACUGACGGAAUGACAUGUAGCUGAACACAUAACAGGUUUCUGUCACUUGGCUCAUACUGCCCAGGCUGCUGCUGAUAGGAAGGAGUGACUUCAAAUAAGCAAAUGGCAAUGAAAAUCUUACAGCUGCUAUGACUGAUAUAGAUAGACACUCACUCUUCUUUGGGUUUGAUAUGUUCUAUAUACUGACCUCUGUUUACUCUCUAAGGUCUGCAAGAGUUUGAGAUGCCUGCAAUAUGCUUUAUCUGCAGUUUUGACUUCGAUAGACUCUGUAAAGAUUAUGUCAGAUAACUAUUGAAACAGUUUGAAAUAUCAAGUACAGAUUAUGGAAUGUUGCUGUGAAUUAUGUGCUGUAGCAAAUGGAUGUAUUUCAAGAGUCACAUGAAAACGAAUGCAAGUUCAGUAAAGCCAUUAGUAUCUGCAACACACUUCUUACUUUGAAUAAGAAGGAGUGUCAGAGACUGGAAACAGGUGAUGCAAACUGGAUUAAAUAGAAGAUAGGAAAAGUGGUUCUAAGUGCCCUGCUUGGUGUCACCGGGUCAUUUUUCAUGGGCUGUGUGUGCAGGCAAUGCUAAAAGCUACAGUGACUAUUACUUCAAUAAAUUACAUCGUAUGCAUCAAAAUGCUAAUCUUUUUCUUGUGACUGAGCAGCCCAAACACUGCCUACUCUCACUAACAACAGCAGUUACAGGGCAAGCACAGACUGGCUUCUCCUGAGUCUAUCCUUGUCUGUGACUCCACUGCUUCUCUGCCUUAGAAGAGUAGACACAUUUUCCUGAGUGGUUCUGAAAGUUUCUCGUGCCUUUCUGCUACACAGCAUCACCUUCCAACUCAUGCACAGUCUCAGAAUGUUUGCUCUGGGCAUGUGUCAUCCAGAUAAAGGGCUGGGAGUUAUCAUCUCUACCCACAGCUCACGUACCAGAAGGUAACUUUGCAAGAUUCACAUGGAGAGUGACAGCACUGAGACUUGUUUGUAGAGUAACUCAUGACCAACUGUCUUGGAUAACUAACCUGCUGAGACUUCACUCUGCCUCUUCCAUCCAUCAUAAAUGUGAAAACACGGUGGAAUUAGUAAGUCUCCUUUGUUGGUCUUUCAGGUUAAUGAAUUCAUCACAGUGAGGAUUGCAGGACGCUUUGCAAUUAGCUUGGUCUACAAGUGGCAACAUGAAAGUAUGUGCUUGUCUUUGUCACGGCCGCGGGGUGCGGCUCUUCCGCGGUUAGAAGAAUCGGUAUGUUGCAACUGCUGCAGUACUGCACUUUAUCAACUUUGUUCUGCAGAUUCUGGAACUGAUGAGCUUUUCUAUAAAAUAUGCUUCCCGAUGUUAGCACUAAGAGCAGUGCUACAGAGUGAUCAAAUUAGGCCUUCCGGAGAGUGAAUAAAAAGCAGAUUUAUGCUGAUGACUACCUACUACAGAUCUGGCCCAAAGGGACACAGCUUUCCACGCGCUUAGAUUCCUAUUUAUGCUUCCUCCCCCCCCCCAGACUUAGCCCAGUACGAGGUGGUUAUACCUUUUUGUGCUGCAGAUGGUGUACUGAAUGAUGCCCUAAGAAAUCCUGAUCCAAAUCUUCCUUUCCUUCAUUUCUGUGCAGUGAGCUGGCUGUCUAUCUAGGUUUAUCAUCUAGCCAAAGCCUGAUAUCUUCAUGUCUUUCAGUUCAAUGUUGGGUUGAAAUACAUGUUGUUAGAACAGAUUUUUGUGUGUGUGUGAUUUUGGGGUCAGGAAAAAAUAGUUAUGAAACAAUUGUUGGAAAAGCAGAAGAAAUCUGUCAUCCAAGUAAAACAAAAAUAAAACAGAUCACGCUGGUUCAGAGUUAAUUUCCUUCUCCCUGUAAGUAUUUAGUCUAGAAAUUGUAGAAACAGACACUGUGGAUUUGUAAUAGGCAUGUAUAUACAUAUCAUUGAGUUUAAAAGAAAUUUAGAUUAACUCCUAAACUUCUGAGAAGUUAAAUUUGUCAGAGUUUUUAAAUGGCUUUUCAUAAAAGAAGUAUUUCAC